AGAGUUUGAUCCUGGCUCAGGACGAACGCUGGCGGCGUGCCUAACACAUGCAAGUGGAGCGACGAACCAGGGCUUGCCCUGGGGCGAAGCCGCGAACGGGUGAGUAACACGUGGGUAAUCUGCCCCGAUGACCGGGACAACCCGAGGAAACUCGGGCUAAUACCGGAUGCGCCCUGCCGGCCCAAGCCGGCUUGGGGAAAGGAAGCUUCGGCCUCCGCAUCGGGAGGAGCCCGUGGCCCAUUAGCUUGUUGGUGAGGUAAAGGCUCACCAAGGCAACGAUGGGUAGCUGGUCUGAGAGGACGAUCAGCCACACUGGGACUGAGACACGGCCCAGACUCCUACGGGAGGCAGCAGUGGGGAAUCUUGCGCAAUGCGCGAAAGCGUGACGCGGCAACGCCGCGUGGGGGAAGAAGGCCUUCGGGUUGUAAACCCCUUUCAGGAGGGACGAAGGUUCGGCGGUGAACAGCCGUCCGGACUGACGGUACCUCCACAAGAAGCCCCGGCUAACUACGUGCCAGCAGCGGCGGUAAUAC
rnacentral:rRNA from 1 species